GACGAACGCUGGCGGCGUGCUUAACACAUGCAAGUCGAACGGAAAGGCCCCUUUGGGGGUACUCGAGUGGCGAACGGGUGAGUAACACGUGAGUAACCUGCCCUUGACUUCGGGAUAACUUCAGGAAACUGGGGCUAAUACCGGAUAGGAAUCCUUGCUGCAUGGUGGGGGUUGGAAAGCUUCGGCGGUUUUGGAUGGACUCGCGGCUUAUCAGCUUGUUGGUGGGGUAGUGGCUUACCAAGGCUUUGACGGGUAGCCGGCCUGAGAGGGCGACCGGCCACAUUGGGACUGAGAUACGGCCCAGACUCCUACGGGAGGCAGCAGUGGGGAAUAUUGCACAAUGGGCGGAAGCCUGAUGCAGCAACGCCGCGGGCGGGAUGACGGCCUUCGGGUUGUAAACCGCUUUCAGCAGGGGCGAAGCUUGUGGUGAUGGUACCUGCAGAAGAAGCACCGGCUAACUACGUG
rnacentral:rRNA from 1 species